rnacentral:tRNA from 1 species
UCCCUGGUGGCUUAGAUGGUAAAGAAUCUGCCUGCAAUGCAGGAGACCCCAGGUUCAAUCCUUGGGUCUGGAA